AGAGUUUGAUCCUGGCUCAGGAUGAACGCUGGCUACAGGCUUAACACAUGCAAGUCGAGGGGAAACGGCAUUGAGUGCUUGCACUGAAUGGACGUCGACCGGCGCACGGGUGAGUAACGCGUAUCCAACCUUCCCGUUACUGCGGGAUAACCUGCCGAAAGGCAGACUAAUACCGCAUGUUCUUCGAUGACGGCAUCAGAUUCGAAGCAAAGAUUUAUCGGUAACGGAGGGGGAUGCGUCUGAUUAGCUGGUUGGCGGGGCGACGGCCCACCAAGGCGACGAUCAGUAGGGGUUCUGAGAGGAAGGUCCCCCACAUUGGAACUGAGACACGGUCCAAACUCCUACGGGAGGCAGCAGUGAGGAAUAUUGGUCAAUGGGCGAGAGCCUGAACCAGCCAAGUAGCGUGCAGGAUGACGGCCCUAUGGGUUGUAAACUGCUUUUAUGCGGGGAUAAAGUGAGGGACGUGUCCCUUUUUGCAGGUACCGCAUGAAUAAGGACCGGCUAAUUCCGUGCCAGCAGCCGCGGUAAUACGGAAGGUCCGGGCGUUAUCCGGAUUUAUUGGGUUUAAAGGGAGCGUAGGCCGGGGAUUAAGUGUGUUGUGAAAUGUAGGCGCCCAACGUCUGACUUGCAGCGCAUACUGGUUCCCUUGAGUACGCGCAACGCCGGCGGAAUUCGUCGUGUAGCGGUGAAAUGCUUAGAUAUGACGAAGAACCCCGAUUGCGAAGGCAGCCGGCGGGAGCGCAACUGACGCUGAAGCUCGAAGGUGCGGGUAUCGAACAGGAUUAGAUACCCUGGUAGUCCGCACGGUAAACGAUGGAUGCCCGCUGUCGGCGCCUUGCGCCGGCGGCCAAGCGAAAGCGUUAAGCAUCCCACCUGGGGAGUACGCCGGCAACGGUGAAACUCAAAGGAAU
rnacentral:rRNA from 1 species